AGACAGUAGCAGCCGCGGUGACUGGCGGCCUCCUGGGUCUCCCUAAAUUCUGAGCUUGCCUUCACAUCUGAGGCCCCACUGCCUACAAACUGAAAAUGAAAUCUGCCAAAACGGGUUGGGGAGCUGCCACUCCUGAACAUAGCUCGUCCCAGUCCCUUCUAGGCAUGAGGUCCCUCCACACCUGGGGGAGACCCUCCCCCAAUCUCCCAAUGCCACCUUCUUUGCCCCUCCAGUGUCAGGUUGAAGCUCUGGGAAUGAACGUUUGAAGUUCUAAACAGGAUUUCUUCCCAAGUCCUCAGUCACUCAACGGCAAACUAUGAAGUGUCCCCAGCCUGUGAGGCUCCUCCUGCAGCCAAAACUGGGAGGGGGCACUGAGUCUGGGCCCAGGCUUUCUUCCAAGGCUAGGACACUCGGGCCCUUCCGUGGCUCUCCCAGUGCAGCCCUGGGCUCAGCACUGCCCUCCCAAUGUCCCGGAAGGAGGCCGCUGUGGCCCUGGCUCCGAGGCCCAGGCCCAAUCCAUCUUCCCAGCCAGUGACUCGCUCUGACAACAGGGCCGAGCUGCCGUGGCAUUUGCCUCUGAUCUCCGCUGGCCAGGCAUUUGUCAGGCAGCCUGCUAGGAAUGAAGAAUGGGCGCUUGGUGAGGCACAGAUUACCCGCCCCAGAGGCCCCUGAUGAAUUGCAGUUCAGAGCUCAGCUGCCUGGGGCCAUGGAUCAACAGGGAGGCGACUAAUCUCCCCCACAGCAGCCCUGCCGAGCAGAGCGGAGGGAGGGUGGAAGCCUGGAGAGUCUGGGAGGAGACGCUACACCACCCCCUGCCCUGGGCCUUUCUUCAGCACAACACCCCUCACGCCCUCCACUCCCACCCGUCUGUCCAGGGAGCCCACUUCCUUCACUAGACGCAGCGCCAGUGGAGACGCUCAGUUCUUUGGGGGCACCCCUUCCUUGCUCCCUGUACAAGAGAGAGAGUUCGGAAUUGCUGGGGGGGUGGGGUGGAGAUUUCUCCUGAUGCCCCAAAGCAUUUAGAAAAACUGGAGGCCCAUGCCAGGGGCACCCUCACCCUGGACAGGAGAUCAGCCUGUAGGAGCUAGCGAUCGGCCUGUCUGAGGCUCUUCUUCCUCUGAUGGGGAAGUCCAGGCCACCCAGCCAGGAAGUGCCUGCCAGAACCCAGCAGAAGCCCUCCUGCCCCCAUGCCCACAGGGCUCUUUCUCUGGAGCUGCUCAGAGGCUGGAUGGGUUUGGAUGGUGGACCCUUUAGCAAGGGAUAGGUGUGGGACUGGCUGCUGGCUCACAGGCUAAUUCUCCUGGCCCUCCCUGGGCUUCCUACCCAGCUCUUCCUGUUCAUGGGUGCUGUGAGGAAGGCCAGGACUCAGCGGACUUAGCAGAGACCCUGCAACCCCAUUGCCCAAGGCCAGCACUUCUGGGCCUGGGGGCUCUGGAAGUGCUCUCCCAGGGGCUGGCAGGGC
rnacentral:lncRNA from 1 species